UAUUUACUCCCUCCGUCCAACAAAAAAAAUGUCUGAAGUUUGUCAAAAUUUGAACGUAUCUAGACAUGGUUCAGUGUACAGUUGCAUUUAAAUUUGGUCAAACUUGAGACAUCUUUUCUUGGACGGAGGGAGUAUUAU
rfam:Brachypodium distachyon strain Bd21 chromosome 3, whole genome shotgun sequence.